UGAUUGGAGUUGUCUGAGCCUGUAUUUUUGUUCUUUGUCUUUUGUUACACAGAGUGAACAGAUCCUUGGUUUUGCCUUUGCUGGUGACCUGCUGCAGAAAACCCUCUCCCUCUAUCAUUAUCAAGCAAUUCUGUCUAUCCUAUCACUCUCCCAACUCUAUCUAAUUUGACAGCCAUUCUAUCUUGUAUCACUCUAUCCCAACUCUAUCUAAUUUGACAGCCAUUCUAUCUUGUAUAAAUCUAUCCCAAGCACUCUAUCUCGUUUUCAGAAAUCUAAGUCUUCAGAAAUCCCAGUUUUCAGAAAUCCCAGUCUUCAGAAAUCCCAGUCUUCAGAAAUCUAAGUCUUGAAAAAUCCAAGUUUUGAAAAAUCCAAGUUUUGAAAA
rnacentral:lncRNA from 1 species